rnacentral:rRNA from 1 species
UGGGUAAUAUUGCACAAUUGGCGCAAGCUUGAUGCAGCCAUGCCGUGUUUAUGAAUAUGGCCUUCGGGUUGUAAAGUACUUUCAGCGGGGAGGAAGGGAGUAAAGUUAUUACCUUUGCUCAUUGACGUUACCCGCAGAAGAAGCACCGGCUAACUCCGUGCCAGCAGCCGCGGUAAUACGGAUGGUGCAAGCGUUAUUCGGAAUUACUGGGCGUAAAGCGCACGCAGGCGGUUUGUUAAGUCAGAUGUGAAAUCCCCGGGCUCAACCUGGGAACUGCAUCUGAUACUGGCAAGCUUGAGUCUCGUAGAGGGAGGUAGAAUUCCAGGUGUAGCGGGGAAAAGCGUAGAGAUCUAGAGGAAUACCGGUGGCGAAAGCGGCCCCCUGGACAAAGACUGACGAUCAGGUGCGAAAGCGUGGGGAGCAAACAGG